ensembl:snRNA
GUGUUAUAUAAAAGGAGAGAAGGCUCCCACUUUCCUUGACUAAGGCUGAAAGAAGUCCUCAGUGUGAUGCUCCACAUACCUACUUUAUGGCAUCUAACCAUCCUUUUUU